rnacentral:rRNA from 1 species
UACAGAGGGGGGCAAGCGUUUAUUCGGAAUUAUUGGGCGUAAAGGGCGCGUAGGCGGCCUGGCAAGUGGAAGGUGAAAUCCCUCGGCUUAACCGAGGAACUGCCCUCCAAACUGCUUGGCUUGAGUCCGGGAGAGGUGAGUGGAAUUCCCAGUGUAGCGGUGAAAUGCGUAGAUAUUGGGAGGAACACCAGUGGCGAAGGCGGCUCACUGGACCGGAACUGACGCUGAGGCGCGAAAGCGUGGGGAGCAAACGGGG